UACGUAGGCAGCAAGCGUUGUUCGGAGUUACUGGGCGUAAAGGGUGUGUAGGCGGUUCUUUUAAGUUUGGUGUGAAAUCUCCCGGCUCAACCGGGAGGGUGCGCCGAAUACUGAGGGACUAGAGUGUGGGAGAGGAAAGUGGAAUUCCUGGUGUAGCGGUGAAAUGCGUAGAUAUCAGGAGGAACACCGGUGGUGUAGACGGCUUUCUGGACCAUAACUGACGCUGAGACACGAAAGCGUGGGUAGCAAACAGG
rnacentral:rRNA from 1 species